GGGGAUAUAGCUCAGUUGGCUAGAGCGUCUGCAUGGCAUGCAGAAGGUCAAGGGUUCAAGUCCCUUUAUCUCCA
rnacentral:tRNA from 1 species